GCUCAUUAUUUGUCAAGGCAUUUAUUCAACAGCAUUCAACAAUAAUCAACAAUAUAAAUCAACAAACAACCAACAUGAACAUGCUAACAAGCUUAAUGACAAUUGGUCACUGAAGGGAAACAACAGUAAAUGCAAAACAAUUUCUAACUGCUGGACAGAUUCAUAACAGUUCAAUGAACGAUAUUUGAAUAGAUCACUGCCAGUUGAAUCAUGUUGGUGAUGACAUUCAACACACGUUCCAUAUAGAACGGAACGUCAUGACGAUAGACAUUCUUAUUCUUAAAUUAUUCCUUGAAAUUCCUUGAAUAUUGAGAUUUCAUUGAAUCUGCCGAUGAAUGUUGAAACGUCUGACAUUUUUUAUGAUAUAUGACAAUUUAAUUGAAACACUCAAUAAAUAUGAAUCUGUUCACCAUGUAAUCUGUAAAAUAAACUAAAAACAGCAGCAAUUUUGUAUGUUAAAGGGAGGAAGGAUGGGUUUUGCAAUCUUGUUAAAAAUAACUAUGGAAUGAAACUUGAGCAGCAACACGUGUACGAGGCGCAUCAAAGCAUAUUAUUUAGUGUGUUUGAAUACUAGUAUAUAGUUGCAAGGAUAUAUAGAUGAUGUUCUCUCACUAAAUAUUUAAAAACUCGUUGACCAUGUUGAACGCACCAAUCCCAUCGAACUAGAGAUAAGGGACACAACAGAUACAGUUACAUGUAAUAAGUAAAAUCACGAAAAUACUGAACUCCGAGGAAAAUCCAAAACGAAAAGUCACUAAAUUAUAAUCAAAUAGCAAAAUCAAAUGAUAAAACACAUCAACCGAAUGGACAACAACUGUCAUAUUUCUGACUGGGUAUACACAUUUUCAAAUGUAGAAAAUAGUGGAUUGAACCUGGUUUUAUAGUGCUAAACCUCUCACUUGUAUGUCAGUCGCAUCAAACGUCAUCAUACGUCUGCCUCAUAUCUUGACUUACUUCUAGAAAUUAGCAAUGAGAGUCGGUUGAAAACAUUUACGACAAAAGAUAUCAUUUCAGCUUCCCAAUUGGGAACUUUCCAUUUCUAUGUAGCAACAUUCAGCAGCGCC
rnacentral:lncRNA from 1 species